AGUGUGUCCUGUACCCCUGUGUACAACUGCACCACCCAGUCUUCUCCCAAGAAAGAGUGGAGCAAAAGCUGGUGGGCAGCAGAGCUCAGAAGAGACCUUUGGAGAGAAGACCUGCCCAGUGUGGUACAUUCACCUGCUCAUCCACCUCCGGCAAACCAAGGGGACAAGACCCAAGUAUCUCUGCUCCUCACCCAGCAGAGCCCACUGUAUCAUCACUGCCAUUGCUUCCUCUUGCCUGCUCUCUGUGGGUCCCCAGGGAGAACAACAUGCUGGCCCCAAGCUCAUGAGCCCACAGCAACUGCCACGAUGUGUUGUUCCCAUGUCCUCAAUAUGUUCCACACCCUGGGGAGAUCCUGUCAGCCAGCAAGUGACACCAGGAGGGCAGCUGAGACCUG